rnacentral:ncRNA from 2 species
AGCAGAGCAGGUAUUACGCGUUAAGUGUUAGAGGAUGGGAGUAUAGCCUCUAAACGAAAAACCUAAAUUUAGGUUUGCGAUGUAAUAUUUCAUCCACUGUU